CCUACGGGACGCAGCAGUGAGGAAUAUUGGUCAAUGGCCGAGAGGCUGAACCAGCCAAGUCGCGUGAGGGAAGACGGCCCUACGGGUUGUAAACCUCUUUUGUCGGGGAGCAAAGCGAACCACGUGUGGCUCAUUGAGAGUACUCGAAGAAAAAGCAUCGGCUAACUCCGUGCCAGCAGCCGCGGUAAUACGGAGGAUGCGAGCGUUAUCCGGAUUUAUUGGGUUUAAAGGGUGCGCAGGCGGGGGUGCAAGUCAGCGGUAAAAUUGCG
rnacentral:rRNA from 1 species